rnacentral:rRNA from 1 species
GCGUAACGCGUAUGCAACCUGCCUGACACAGGGGGAUAAUCCGAAGAAAUUUGGUCUAAUACCCCAUAAUACCGAUAUAGGCAUCUAUGUUGGUUGAAAGCUUUGGUGGUGUCAGAUGGGCAUGCGUUGUAUUAGCUAGUUGGUGAGGUAACGGCUCACCAAGGCGAUGAUACAUAGGGGGACUGAGAGGUUAACCCCCCACACUGGUACUGAGACACGGACCAGACUCCUACGGGAGGCAGCAUG